rnacentral:rRNA from 1 species
GAUGAACGCUGGCGGCGUGCCUAAUACAUGCAAGUCGAGCGAACAGACGAGGAGCUUGCUCCUCUGACGUUAGCGGCGGACGGGUGAGUAACACGUGGAUAACCUACCUAUAAGACUGGGAUAACUUCGGGAAACCGGAGCUAAUACCGGAUAAUAUAUUGAACCGCAUGGUUCAAUAGUGAAAGACGGUUUUGUUGUCACUUAUAGAUGGAUCCGCGCCGCAUUAGCUAGUUGGUAAGGCAACGGCUUACCAAGGCAACGAUGCGUAGCCGACCUGAGAGGGUGAUCGGCCACACUGGAACUGAGACACGGUCCAGACUCCUACGGGAGGCAGCAGUAGGGAAUCUUCCGCAAUGGGCGAAAGCCUGACGGAGCAACGCCGCGUGAGUGAUGAAGGUCUUCGGAUCGUAAAACUCUGUUAUUAGGGAAGAACAAAUGUGUAAGUAACUAUGCACGUCUUGACGGUACCUAAUCAGAAAGCCACGGCUAACUACGUG